GCUUCUGAUUAUCUGGUAGGCCCAGAACUGGGGCAGUGGAAAUGGCACGUUGUAAGAAGCUACAUCUUGCCUCGGGGAUAGGGCAAACGGUUCAGUCUUCCGGGCAUCAUAGAGUGGUUGCAUGAGGAAGGUGGUCUCGGGUAUCCAGGCCCUGCAGUAGAUUAGGCCCAGGAAAGCAUGGAGAGACUUGUGUGCUUUGGGAGGAC